GUAGGUGGCAAGCGUUGUCCGGAAUUAUUGGGCGUAAAGCGCGCGCAGGUGGUUCUUUAAGUCUGAUGUGAAAGCCCCCGGGCUCAACCGGGGAGGGUCAUUGGAAACUGGGGAACUUGAGUGCAGGAGAGGAAAGUGGAUUCCACGUGUAGCGGUGAAAUGCGUAGAUAUGUGGAGGAACACCAGUGGCGAAGGCGACUUUCUGGCCUGUAACUGACACUGAGGCGCGAAAGCGUGGGGAGCAAACAGGAUUAGAUACCCUGGUAGUCCACGCCGUAAACGAUGAGUGCUAAGUGUUGGGGGGUUUCCGCCCCUCAGUGCUGCAGCUAACGCAUUAAGCACUCCGCCUGGGGAGUACGGUCGCAAAGACUG
rnacentral:rRNA from 1 species